CCCCCCCCCACUGCUUAAGAACCCCUUAUCUUAAUCACCAGCCAUUAAUCAGUGAUCACUGUUACCAAAGCUCCAAGGUGCGCAUGAUGGCCAACUUCCAGGAUGGUGUACUGUAGGCUGUUUGUCAACAUGUGAAUCCCACGUGCAUUUCGGGGUCUGGGUUUUGGAUGUUCAUCAGCUGGUUGUCAAUUUCCCAGGAGAACACAGUAAAAGUACAUUUUUUAAGAGCAUUGGUUCCACCUCAGGUGUAACACAGGUAGCCAUUUGGCCAGAACAUAAUCCGUUUUCUUGUGGAAUUGAUGGAUCCAUGAAGUUCCGAUCACUACCCGAGAGGGAAACCAUGGUGCCAUAUUGGACAGCAUAAUUAUUUAUUUUAGUGUAGAGCAGAUGUGGCAUGCUUAUUGAAAAGCUUACUAUAAAUGGUCACAUUCUGUAUUUCAAUGUUAAAGUGGAUUCUGAGAUACAUGUACUAGCUUUCAACCACUCUAUAAGAUUAAGAUAAUCUAAUUGUGUUCAACAGAAAGCUUGUAUUGACUGUUAUGAAGGACUUUUAUUUUUUUUUUUGAAAUUCUUUAUUUUGUGUCAUUGAUUUGAAUUUUAGUUAUUUGUUAUAAGUCCCUUAACACAUUCUG